rnacentral:rRNA from 1 species
GACGAACGCUGGCGGCAUGCCUAACACAUGCAAGUCGAACGAGACGUCCGGGUUUAGUGUCCUCCGGUUGCGUAAGGGGUGGGAACAUGACCUUAGGUUGGGAAUAACUCCCGGAAAGGGGUGCGAAUAUGGGACAAUGUCUGGGGACGAAGGAUUUAUGGACGGUGGGUGUUCCCGAGUUGGAUUGGAUCGUUGGUAGGGUAAACGCAUACCGCGGGGUCGAUCCAUAGCUGGUUAGCGAGGAUCCUCAGCCACACUGGGAGUGAGACACGGCCCAGACUCCUACGGGAGGCGGCAAUGGUGGAUAUUGGACAGUGGGCGAAAUCCUGAUCCAGCAAUGCCGCGAGAAUGAUGUAGGCCUUGGAGUUGUAAAGCUCUAUUACCCGUGAUGAUAAUGACGUUACCGGGAGAAUAAGCUCCGGCUAACUCCGUG